ensembl:lncRNA
GAGAAUCUGUGCUUACGCCCGUCUUCAUAAAAACACGGCCAAGCCUGCAGUUUAUACUAAUAAUCAACUGAAAGCAGAUUUACAACAUGCAGCAAUGGAUUCUGGGAAAACCCCACCUCCAUGAUAAAGUACUGCUAAAGUAUCUACUGUACAGGUCUGGGUUAUGUACAGUAUGUGUGUGUUUGUGUGCGUGCGUGAGUGUGUGUGUUUGUGUGCGUGCAUGUGUGUUCAUGUUUAGGAGGGUGCCCUGGUUCUCACAUCGGAACGUAACAUAACGGUUCCCACAGAAACUAUGUCACUUCCUGUGCCAUUUCAGCUUCCUGUCUGCAUUGUGGUUUCAAACUGAGGGUUUUUUUUGUUUCCCAGGUGUGUGUGUGUGUGUGUGUGUGUGUGUGUGUGUAGAGAAUAGGCGGUGUUCUUGGUCGGACAGUUUCACAGCUGCUUGCCUACAUUCUGUAAACACAUUUGAAGCACUGCAUUGUGGGUAAAUUCAACAUAAGUUAACAUUUCACUGAGCUGUUGUUUGUGUCAUUAAGAGAAAAUAAGCGUUCACUGUUCAUCCGUUAAAGUGUUUUUUGCCUCUGUUUAAUGUGCGGCUGUGUUCCAAUACUGUUUUUAAUGCGCCCUUGUUGACCUCCCCUUGAUUGAGUCCCCUCUGCCGUCCCCUGUAUCGUUCCUUUAUCACAACACUGCGAGUGAAGCUGUAAAUUUGUGAUUUUUGACUUUUAUAACCCCAAACUUUACAUCUACAUCUGUCCAUGAUAGCUUCCAGCACUGCUUGCUAGUUAGCAAACUGCUAAUCUGAUCAUCUGUGAUGCUAAUGCAGCAAUAUUAGCAUCAUGCUAACCGUAAUCUGAGCUCAUAUUUUACAUUUCAUGUGCUCAUGAACUCGGAGCUGAUCCCAGACUGUAAACAACUGACAGUGACUUGCUAGCUAGUUAGCAAGCUAGGUAAUAUUUAGCAAGAAUCUGAGCGCGUAGACGUCCAAAGAAAUUGGCUCGACGCUCUGUUUGUCCAUGUGAAAAAGGGGGGAGCUUCAGAUCAUUAUCGCUAGCCUUCCUUUAAUUCUUUUGACUUGACGUAAUAUAAAAUUCUGGCUUUAUUAAACGAUAAGCUAGUUUAGGAACAUGAAUUAAGCCUGCUAGCUACUAACAUACAGGACAGUGCUAAUGUUAAACUGUUUUAAACUGAUACAUUGUGUAAAUAAUUAGCUCGUAACUUAGCUAACAUUAGAUAAACUAUUACAUUCUGACCAGAAUUGUAUGUGAAUUAGUUAAGUCAAACUUAAGAAAUGAAAAGAAAGACCACUGGUGAUGUCAUAUGAUGAAGCCUAAACAGUCACUAGUCAAAAUGAGGGGGGUAUUGGGAAAAAAGUAUUAGAACACAGCCUUCUGUAAAGCCGAACUUGUUAAUAGUUUCAACAUUAAAGCUAACAUUAAAACUUUCUUUAGCUACGCUGUGUAUUCAGCUAUCAUCAUUUCCAUUGUUAGCACAGUUUAGCUUCUGUUUCUGCUUCUGUUUAUGAAUGUGAAUGUACAUUAAAGGUAUAUGGAUCUGCAGGACAGUCUGUUUACCUGCUCUGUUAAAAAAAA